rnacentral:misc_RNA from 1 species
CGGGUCCAAGUUUAGCUUGCAGUAUCUGAAGUGUAGUUUGCUCAUGUUGAACACUCAAGGAGUAUGCUUCCAUUAAAGAAAGAGCAAUUGCAAUAGCAUGAUAGCUGGCAGCAGUUUGAAUAUGAUCAGCUCCAAGAAGUCUCUGGUUACACUUAAGAGCCUCGUGAAGGUACCUGAGUGCAACAUGGACAUUUCCGAGACCUUCCUCCAUCAUUGCAACAUUUAUAUAUGUUGCAGCAGUAUUUGGAUGAGAAGGUCCACAUGUAAGAUGCAAAAGAUAGAGGGCACGAUUGACAUACUUUAAUGCCAACUCUGUGUGUUGAAGUCGGUAGUAGAAAACUGCUAAAUCUCCAUAACUCUUCAUUGUAUCUGGGUGGUCAAGUCCAAGUUCUCUUUCAUUAAUAUCCAAAGCUUUUUGUUGAUAGAUAGUAGCCUGAUUAAAAUCCCCAGUGUGGUAGAGUACCACAGCUAAGAGACUGUAUGCACCUGCUGUCAUUCGAUGGUAAGGACCACAUACAGAAACGAGUUUUGAGAGUGCCUUAGUUCCAAAAGUUACAGCAUCCUCCAGUUUGCCUUUAUCCAGAGAAGUUUUCGAUGAUUCCAG